rfam:Sphingomonas sp. Leaf42 contig_7, whole genome shotgun sequence.
GCCGCUUUAGCUCAGUUGGUAGAGCAUCGCAUUCGUAAUGCGGGGGUCACAGGUUCGAGUCCUGUAAGCGGCA